rnacentral:sRNA from 1 species
UAAAUAUUAUGUCAUAAUAUCAUAAUGCUUAUUUUUAUGUGUUAGUUGUGUAGACUGUGUUUCUUCUUCUAAAUGUGUUAGGCCCACAGGGCAUUUAAAAAAAAUAAAUGUAUUAAGACAUUUGAUUCAUGUGUAACAUACUACACCUUGAGUCUUAUGUUGUUGAUGAUCAGUAAUAGGGAAAAAAAUGGCUGAGUCCGUGUGUAAGUGCUGUCAAACAAUAAAAAUACACGGCAUGAUCUUCAAUGUUGUUGAACGUAUUCGAGAACAGAAUCCUCAAGACGUAGAAGAAGGCAAAUGUCUGGCUCACUGGAAAGCAAUGGACAAAAAGAUUUUAAAUAUUUCAUAUCUACAGGGAUAUAUUAGCAAUUUCUGCAAAGAUCCAAUGGAAAAUAAUGUGGAUUGGUUUUACUUGGCUUGUCGCGUGUUUACCAGGUGGGCCUUUGGUGUUCUGGGCCGAGGUGUCCGCAUCCAAAUUCCUGAGUGUGUCAUGAAAAGAAUAUCAGAGACAUUUCCUCUUUGACAAACUGGAUCUUGUUGAAACAGGACUUUUAGUUCCAAUGUCAUCUUUUUAAGAAAAAA